rnacentral:rRNA from 1 species
UACGUAGGGUGCAAGCGUUGUCCGGAAUUAUUGGGCGUAAAGAGCUCGUAGGCGGUCUGUCACGUCGGCUGUGAAAACCCGGGCUCAACCUCGGCCUGCAGUCGAUACGGCAGACUAGAGUUCGGUAGGGGAGACUGGAAUUCCUGGUGUAGCGGUGAAAUGCGCAGAUAUCAGGAGGAACACCGGUGGCGAAGGCGGGUCUCUGGGCCGAAACUGACGCUGAGGAGCGAAGCGUGGGAGCGAACAGG